UUUACGAAUUUAAAAAUUAGUUUCCUCUAAGGGUUUUUCCCCUGCUAUAUUUUAUGUUUCUGAUUAAGUAUUUAUGAAAUGCAUUGACUUUUAUAAACAAUGAAAUUAUCCUUUAUUAUUGUGGGAGUCUUUUGGUAAUAUAUCAACCUUCAAAUACUCAGCAAGUGACAUUUUGUAAGUUUAUAAGCAGCAUCUUUCUUCAGAGUUUUAUGCAAGUGACUCUUAAGCAAGAGACCCUUCCUGAAUCUGAUGUUCAAGAUAUGAAGUUCAGAAAUUAAAUCCCAGGCUUUAAGCAAAAAAUGAAUGCAUUUGUGACUGACAGGCCCUGUGAGGGGAUCCUGCUGGUUGUUUCCGUUACCUGUGCUCUCAACGUGCAAGUGAGGAAACACAGGCUGAGUAACUGAACAGGGCAGUGGCCCGGGAGCCUGGUCUCCUAACACAGUGGCUUCAUUUGUAACAGCUCCAAACUGAAAACAGCCCAAAGAUCCAACAACACGGGACUGAUGAGAAACU